GACGAACGCUGGCGGCGUGCUUAACACAUGCAAGUCGAACGGAAAGGCCCUGCUUUUGUGGGGUGCUCGGGUGGCGAACGGGUGAGUAACACGUGAGUAACCUGCCCUUGACUUUGGGAUAACUUCAGGAAACUGGGGCUAAUACCGGAUAGGAGCUCCUGCUGCAUGGUGGGGGUUGGAAAGUUUCGGCGGUUGGGGAUGGACUCGCGGCUUAUCAGCUUGUUGGUGGGGUAGUGGCUUACCAAGGCUUUGACGGGUAGCCGGCCUGAGAGGGUGACCGGCCACAUUGGGACUGAGAUACGGCCCAGACUCCUACGGGAGGCAGCAGUGGGGAAUAUUGCACAAUGGGCGGAAGCCUGAUGCAGCAACGCCGCGCGCGGGAUGACGGCCUUCGGGUUGUAAACCGCUUUCGCCUGUGACGAAGCGUGAGUGACGGUAAUGGGUAAAGAAGCACCGGCUAACUACGUG
rnacentral:rRNA from 1 species